CCAAGUCAAAAUAUGGAUAGGUGGUUUUCAUGAAAAUUGAUUAAGCACAGAAAAGAAAGAAGUAGAAGUAUCAUCAUAAUCCCUUUCAUAUCUAACAAAUGCUAGAAAACAUUUUCCAUGAAAAAAUGACUCCCCUCAAACUAUGCACACUACAAGAAGCAGAAUAACACUAAAUCAAAGUGGUUUUACACCCAAUUACACAGGAAAUUUACAAACAUAAGGAGGUUGCAGUUAGGUUUUACACCCAAUUACACAGGAUAUUUACAAACAUAAGGAGGUUGCAGUUAGUUGGUGAUGCUAUAAGCUUAAAAACCUUGAACAAAGAAUUCAGCAGAAAAAAUAAGAAGAGAUAUCAUCUGAUGAAAAAGUGAAUUCCGUCAAUGAUUUUCCCAGUAUAACAGUUUACAGUUCUACUGAAAGGGGCUGUUAUAUACAGAGAAUUUUUUUUUAGAAAUUUUGAGUUUUGAAUUCUAACCAGUACAAAACAAUAUAAAACAUUAUUUUUUUACCUUGUGUGUGCAAAGAGCAGAAUCAUUCACCAGUAGCCCAGCUGUUUCUUUGUAGACUGCAACAAAGUCUACGAAGCCAAACACCGAAACACGCUUUUUUUAAGCCCAUCCAAACAUCCUCUUAAAAAAUGCGCUAAAAAGCUACUUAAAUUCAGCUAAUCCAAGCAUGCUUUUACUUCAAUUUUGAUGCUCAAAUCUGUGAUAAAAUCAGUCAAUGUAGAAAUGCAACCGCCAUGGCUGCAGACCCGGUUGCAACCAUGCCUUCCAGGUCGCCCAGCCAGGAUACGGGCUGCUCCAAAGCCGGACCAACUCUGGACACCUUUCGACAUUUCAUCACAGCCUCAUCCCCCAGAAGAUCAUUUGUGUCAUGGAAAGGCAAAAGAGAAGCCAACCAUGCCAUGGCUGCAAAACAUUGAACACCGUUUGCAUGUGUGAGAGAAGACUCUCAUUCACAGGCCAUACCAGGCUGCUACACCAAGAUACUGGUCAGGUAAUCUCCAUGCCCCAAUUAGUUAGCCCAGAAAUAGAAAAGAAUCAUCAUCAUCUCUGCCUCUUUUAAGAUAUGAAAGUCACAUAGUUGUUGUGUAGUAUAGUUGUGAAUAUUGGGUCUUUGAGUUCCAUUACGGGUGUAAAAGUGCAGAUAAACCCACAAACUCAAGUACUCUUUCUCUUUCUUCUUUCUUUUUAAGGGCGGUUGGUUUGUUUAAAAAAGGAGAAUCAUAGGCAAAGCAGAGAGGGGGCAACCACCCUUGUAAAAAAAUCAUGUACUCUCUGUUACCUCAUUCUCGCCAUUUCUAUACUAAUAUAGAAGGUUUUCGAGAAAAUGAUCAAAAUAGUUCUUAGUGUAUGGGUUGGACUACUAUUUUGGUCCACAAUGUACACCCUUAACAGAAUUAAUCCUUGAAGAAUGUAAAACGUGUAAACUUUUAAUUCACAACAGUUUUCUUCAACACUUCAGUUAAACUUAACUGGGUAACAGAUGCAGUAAUUGCUUCAAUUUUGAGGCUCAGAUCUGAGAAUAUAGUCAGGCAAAGGAAACAAAGCAACCGCCAUGGCUGCAGCCCUCUAUCAAACAGGCCUUCGGGGUUGCCCCGCCAAGAUACGGGUCGCUCCAAUGCCCAACACAACUCUAGACACCUUUAAUCAUCACAGCCUCUUCAUCCGUCGCAUUAAAUGCUCUUAGGUAAUAUGUUCUGCUUAUUCUCAAACACCAAAAAUAAGUGUUUUUCAGGAAACAUUUUCCUUCAUACCAAAUACACCCAAAAUUUAUCUUCAGCAAAUUGAGGCUCAGAUUUGUUGUUAUGACAAGGCAAAAGAGAAGCCAACCACGCCAUGGCUGCAACACCAAUUGCAUGUGCGAGAGAAGAGUCCCAACUCUCAAUCACAAACCACACCGACUUGCCACGCCAAGAUACGGAUUGGGUCAUCUCAAUGCCAAAUCAGUUAGCCCAGAUAUAAUAAAAAACAUCAUCACUGCCUCUUUAAGAUCUGGAGGUAGCAUAGUUGUUGCAGUAUAGUUGUAUGUAUUGGGUUUUGAGUAUGCAUUUAGGGUGCAAAAAAUGCAAAGAAACCCAGGAAACUGAAGUGCUAUCAUCUCUUUCUCUUUUUUCUAUUUUAAGGGCUGUUGGUUUGUUUUUAAAAGUUGGAGAAUCACAGCCAAAGCAGAGACGGGCAACCACCCUUGUAAAAAAAAUCCCAUACACUCUGUUGACUCAUUCUCUUCAUUUCUGGGCUAAUCCAGUUCAAAUGGAGGGUAAUAUAGCAGGUUUUCCAGAAAAUAAUCAAAUAGUCCAAGUUACCCAAGAGCAAGGCGGGAAGUUCAUGGAGGGAAGGAUGCCGAGCGUCUAUGGGAAAAAGCCUCUCUACCCAGGUAGGGGCAAGGUUUGCGUAUACGCUACACUCCCAGACCCACUAAGUGGGACUAUACUAGGUGGUUGUUGUUGUUGUCCGUACAGUACGUAUGAAGCGUACACUUCUCUUGAGAAAAAUGAUCCGUCAUCUUUGAGGAGGUUUAUUAUGGUCCUUUAAUAUACACAAAAAACCUAAAAUUUUUGGUCUCCGUCCCUUUUUUAAAAGGGGAAAGGGCCAAAUGAACCCCUCAAUUUUGAGGCUCAAAUCGGUGAUAAAAUCAGGGCAAAGAAGACAAAGCAACCGCCAGGGCUGCAAACCUCGGUCGCACUAUAAAAAAAAAGGCCUUUCCGGGUCACCCCACCAAGAUACGGGCCGCUCCAUUGCCCCGACGCGAACUCUAGAUAACCUUAAUCAUCACAGCCUCAUCCAUUAUAAUAACAAUAAGAAUAAUGGUAAUAAUAGACUAACUAGUAUACCAUCACAACAUCCAACUUUUAUCACAUCGGAAUCGUACAUCAUUUUGACAUUCAUAAUUAUAUGGAAAUAAAUAUGAAGAUGGUAGCUGGCAUUUAAGAAAAAGAAAAAAGCAAGCACUUAAUCAAGGGCUUACCAGAAGGGGAUUGCCGGACCACAAGGGAUCGUAUGCAGUCUUACCCUACAUUUCUGCAAGAGGUUGUUUCUAUCGCUCGAACCCCCGACCUCCUGGUCAUAUGGAGGCAACUUUACCAGUUUGCUUUUGUCAUAAACAAAGGGGUGUUGGUUUUUUUGAUAAUGGAGGAAAAUCAAUGGCGGAACAGAGAGGGGCAACCAUCCCUUCAAUGAAAAUCUCAAAACUCUCUGUUUUGCCUCAUUUCUUUCUAGGCUAACCUUUUUGCAAUUCUAGAAGAAAUUCUCGUGGGUUUUUCACCCGCAAAUUUCAAAAUUUAACGGAAAAGAGCUCAUAAGUCUGCAUUUAAGAAAAUAACCUUCCAAUUGAGGCUCAGAUCUGUAACAUUUGAAGAUAAGGCAAGAGAUUGGAGACAUCGCCAUGGCUGCAAAUACUGGCUGCAAGACGUCACCGUGA
rnacentral:lncRNA from 1 species